UCCAGGCAUGGGCGAUGUAUGCCUUUAAUCCUAGUUACUUGAGAGGCUGGGCCUGGAGGAUCUCUUGAAUUUGGGAGUUAUGAGCUCCAGUCAGCUAUGCAGAUCAGAUGCCUAUACUAAAUUUGGCAUCAAUAUUAUAAGGGAGCAGCAGGCCACCAAGUUGUCUAAGGAGGAGUGAGUUGAUCCAUACCAGAAAUGGUGCAGGUUAAGGCUCCCUGCUAAUCAGUAGUGGGAUCGAGACUUUUAGUAGGUCCUGCAUUUCCACUCUAGAUAAGAUGGGUAGACCCAGAGACA
rnacentral:SRP_RNA from 1 species